UGGUGGAGCGAUUUGUCUGGUUAAUUCCGUUAACGAACGAGACCCCGGCCUGCUAAAUAGCCGCGUCGACCCCUCUCCACGAAACCCGGACGGCGGGACGCCGGACCCCCCUCCCCUCCCGGGGAGCGCGGGGACCCGCCCCCGUCCGGGCGGUCGGGUCGGCGCGUCGGCUUCUUAGAGGGACUGUCGGCGCUCAGCCGACGGAGGUUCGGGGCGAUAACA
rnacentral:rRNA from 1 species